UGGGACUGAGACACGGCCCAGACUCCUACGGGAGGCAGCAGUGGGGAAUAUUGGGCAAUGGAGGAAACUCUGACCCAGCGACGCCGCGUGCGGGAUGAAGGCCUUCGGGUUGUAAACCGCUUUCAGUAGGGAAGAAGCGAAAGUGACGGUACCUACAAAAGAAGCACCGGCUAACUAUGUGCCAGCAGCCGCGGUAAUACAUAGGGUGCAAGCGUUGUCCGGAAUUAUUGGGCGUAAAGAGCUCGUAGGUCGUUUGUUACGUCGGAUGUGAAAACCUGAGGCUCAACCUCAGGCCUGCAUUCGAUACGGGCAAACUAGAGUUUGGUAGGGGAGACUGGAAUUCCUGGUGUAGCGGUGGAAUGCGCAGAUAUCAGGAGGAACACCAAUGGCGAAGGCAGGUCUCUGGGCCAAUACUGACACUGAGGAGCGAAAGUCUGGGGAGCGAACAGGAUUAGAUACCCUGGUAGUCCAGACCGUAAACGGUGGGCACUAGUUGUGGGAACCUUCCACGGUUUCUGCGACGCAGCUAACGCAUUAAGUGCCCCGCCUGGGGAGUACGAUCGCAAGAUUAAAACUCAAAGGAAUUGACGGGGCCCCGCACAAGCAGCGGAGCAUGCGGCUUAAUUCGACGCAACGCGAAGAACCUUACCAAGGCUUGACAUAUAGGGAAAAGUGGCAGAGAUGUCAUGUCCGCAAGGGCUCUAUACAGGUGGUGCAUGGUUGUCGUCAGCUCGUGUCGUGAGAUGUUGGGUUAAGUCCCGCAACGAGCGCAACCCUCGUUCUGUGUUGCCAGCAUUUAGUUGGGGACUCACAGGAGACUGCCGGGGUUAACUCGGAGGAAGGUGGGGAUGACGUCAAAUCAUCAUGCCCCUUAUGUCUUGGGCUGCACGCAUGCUACAAUGGCCGGUACAGAGGGCUGCAAUACCGUAAGGUGGAGCGAAUCCCAAAAAGCCGGUCUCAGUUCGGAUUGAGGUCUGCAACUCGACCUCAUGAAGUUGGAGUUGCUAGUAAUCGUAGAUCAGCAACGCUACGGUGAAUACGUUCCCGGGGCUUGUACACACCGCCCGUCACGUCACGAAAGUCGGUAACACCCAAAGUCAGUGGCCCAACCGCAAGGGGGGAGCUGCCUAAGGUGGGAUCGGUGAUUGGGACGAAGUCGUAACAAGGUAGGCGUACCGGAAGGUGCGGCUGGAUCACCUCCUUU
rnacentral:rRNA from 1 species